CAGAGAUAAUGCUGUGAUUAAUAGAGUUGCUGGUAUGGGCCCAGGAGGCAAAAUUUGUGGCCCACAUGGCUCACAUUUGCCAUCUCAAGAUCAUGUACUUGUCAGUUUUAUAAAACUUAUAUGUUACAUCACAUGUAUCAUUUCUACUAAUGCAGGUAUGAUGAGAACAGAAUAGGUGUUCUCAAAAGAGAUGGAACUCAAAAAAUUGGGGAUUGAAGAUCACAAUGCAUCAUCCAAAAACACCAGUGUUUCAGGACUGACUCUGGGGGUGAUCAUGCCAGGGCAGUCCUGCCUCAACCCAGUAAUGCAGGAGCCACCAAAUACACAGGACAAAAGUCAUAUCUAGAGACCGUGUUGGAAAAUAUCAAGAAUAGAGGAAGAACAAGAAGAUUUACCUGAUGUUGAGAAGUGGCUGGAAGGAUUCAGAAACUUGAGAGAAGAAUUUGAAAAAUAUGACCCAGAAAAAAUAGCAUGAUUUUCAGUCUUAAUACCUGCCCUGGUUUUGAAUCGUGAGGAGAAAACUCUGGAGAUUUCCAGCCCGAAGUGAUGUCAAGCUUGACAGUGUGUUCUAGCGCUGAGGGAUUAUUUUUUCUGCUCUCCAAGAGAGAGAAUCAGGAAAGGAAAUUCCAAACCUCACCUGAGACUGGGCCCUGUGAUAUAUCAUGCAUGUCCUUUGGUUGAUGUCAAAGGAUGACUAAAAUCUGCUCUGAGAGGGGCCUUUGGCUUGGUGCUUUCAGUUUUGUUUAUGACUGGAAGGUAGGAGUUCUUCUCUAAGUGUGAGAUUAUAGUACAUUCUGGCAAUCUUUCUAACAGAAACACAACAUUUUACCUGUUAGGACUUGAGGGAGAGGGACCUCUCCAAUGUUUUACUGUUAUUCUCCCACAGCGUCCUCUAAAGCACAGUGAAAAUGACUUCAGGAAUUUUUUUGGUAAAGAAAGACUGCUUCACACUUUGUACUACUUUAUGACUUUGUGAGUAUAUACUACUGAUAUGAAACUUAGUGGAUAUAUGUACAAAUAAAUGAUCAAAUUUUCAGAAAUGUAGGAAAAAAUUAUGUCAUUAUGAUACCUUGUUCUGUAGAGUUCCAAAAGUCGAAAUAAUAUUCUUUGGACAAAAAGUACUCCAAACUGGGCUUCCCUGGUGGCACAGUGGUUAAGAAUGCGCCUGCCAAUGCAGGGGACAUGGGGUUCGAGCCCUGGUCUGGGAAGAUCCCACAUGCCGUGGAGCAACUAAGCCUGUACGCCACAACUACUGAGCCCGCGAGCCACAACUACUGAAGCCCACGUGCCUAGAGCCCGUGCUCCGCAAGAAGAGAAGCCACCACAAGGAGAA